UGGGGAAUAUUGGACAAUGGGCGCAAGCCUGAUGCAGCGACGCCGCGUGGGGGAUGAAGGCCUUCGGGUUGUAAACUCCUUUCAACCAUGACGAAGCAUUAUGUGACGGUAGUGGUAGAAGAAGCACCGGCUAACUACGUG
rnacentral:rRNA from 1 species